GGCGGCUCCGCUCGCCCCGGGAGGGAGCCCGCGGCCAGGGCUGGACUCUCGCCCCGCCACCUCCACCGACUCUCUCCUCAGCCUCCGCGCCUGGCACCGCAGCAAGACUUGAAUGAAGUGAUCAUGUAAACUAGAGAAAGGAGAUUAAAAAUAACCUCUGGAUAUUCCUCUCAUGUGAUCUUUAUUCUGGAUGAAGCAUUAGGACAGCUAAUAGCCGUGUGUCACUGUAAGUAUUGUGUAAUGAACUUAGAAUGUUUAUUUUUUUGUUGCUGCAUAACCUCGUAUGUUGUACACUUUCACAGAAUUUAAGAAUAGUAGAUGUAGUGUAGUAGCAGUAAUGGGCAGAACAAUAAAAACUAAAAUACUAAGUGGCAGGGAUAGCAACACAGAAGGGGAAAAUUAUUCUGGUUAUAGAAUCCCUUAAAUUGAGUAAAUAUUUGAUAUAAACAAAAGUGAAGGACAAAAUGAUAAUUAUUUAUGAUAUCAAAGUGAUCUUUGCUAGAAUAUACUUGAGAGUGUGACAGCUUUCUGAUGAGGAAGUAAACUAAUUGUAAAGCUAUGCUGAGAAGAAUCAUAAUCUUACUAUGAAUAAGAAAUGCGUUACGAGUUACAGGAUUUGAAAAAUAACAGAAUGAGAAGCUUUUACAAGCCAGGCUAUUUUAAUUUUGGUGACGGUUUAGAAUCUAUAGAAGUACCAAAAAUUAUAGCACCAACUUCAAUUAAUAGAAUGUUCAAUCUGUAUCUAAUGAAGUUAUCAAGUACUCUUUAAUCAUGCAUCUAUAAUUUUAUCAUACAAAACCAUUGCAUUCAUAAAGAGAAAAACAAUCUUAUAAACUGGCCUGAGGACUUCAUCUGAUCAUAUAAACGAAGAAAUAGGCUUCCAAUUUAACAUUCUGCAGCACUCUAAUGCAAUUCAGGGGUAAGUGCUAUUACCCUUGGUGAAGAGGUUGAAUUUGAUAGCCAUUUCACUGUUAGACUAACGAUGGCCUGUUAUAUCUCUUAGGUUACAAUGUCUUUGAUCCUGUGAAUGGCAAGGAAACAUACAACCUCAGGGGGAAAUUCAGACAGAGAAGGUAUUUAAUAGAAAAGCCUCCAGACAACUGGAGUUUCUUUAGAUUUUGAAAUCAUAUGUAGACCUCUUAGCUGAGACUCAACCAGAAUCCACCAGUAAGGCAUUCAGCUUGGUUAUACCUGUGCUGUACAGAUGGCUACAUAUGUUGUCUGUCACCACAAUACACGUUCAAAUAUGAAUAUAUGUACAAAGAUUCAAAUGUCAAAUAUGUCUUAUAUUUUGACUUAUGAACUUAUUUAUUAUCUUACUAACUUGGACUUGUUAACCAGAGAAAUUACUUACAUAAUGAAAGCUCUUUUAAAAAUAUCCUAUUACCUUUUCCUCCCACAACUGAACACAUAAUUUGGAAAAAAGUCUCUGUGAAGGAAACAAUUAAAAUUUUGUUUUGCAUUUGUAAAACUAGAGUUAUUUUAUUUCCUAGAAUGUAACAAUAACUUACCCUUUCCACUUCAGAUUUUGAAAAUUUUAUUUGUAGUAACAUUUUACCUACAUCCAAAACAGGUGGUGGAUCUAAUUUAUAUUUUGAAUGGACAAAUAACGUUUUCUGAAAAAGUUGUAAGAUGUGCUUGCUUUAGCCGAGUCAUAAUUUUUACUCUUUCAUAGUCCCACAAAAACACGUAUUCGCGAUAUAGCUGAAUAAGGAAAUUGACUUAACGCCAAGUUAGCAAUCAAAACAAAAAUCAAACCUACUAAGUGUGUUACUUGCCCUACUUAAAAAGAAAUUGAGAGAUGAUAAUAUUUAAUAUGUCUUUUUAAAUAUAAUUUAUCUAGGUUAGAUUCAUAGAGAAAUUUCCGUGAAGGUAAAUAUUCCUCUACCAUAGAGAUGAUUUUAAAUGAAGUGAAAUUAUUUUUAAUUAAUAUCAUUGGUAACUUGCAACAGAAGGGAAUUUUCGUGUUACUUAAACCAUAAUUUUCUUCUAACAUGGCUUAGGCCAUUUAUCAGAACCAUGUUGUUAAAUGCAGAUUUGCAGAAAUACUUUUCAAUGAAAUAUAAGACUACGUGAUAUUUGAAACCAUCCAGUUUAUUUAACUUGCUUAAAACAGUGUUCACUUUAUACAAGUUCCCUUUGAUAAAAUCACUUAAGCGAACAUUUUUUAUAUCUAUGUACACAUGUAAAUGUGUGUCUUUUUAAAAAAUAACCAUGAUUAGAAUGAUGAGCAUAUAGAACUUUAUUUAUACCAAAAAAUAACGUGGUGUAAGAAAUGCUUUUAUGAAGCAAAAUGUAUCAAGCCCUCUAGUGGUGUUAAUGUAUAAGAUAUUUCAUUGUGGUGUUUGCUCAAUCAAAGCAGGCUUUUUUUUUUUCUUUCUCCAUUUGAGUGCAAGUAUUUAACAUGUUUUUGACGUUAGCUUUUUGUAAAUUCCAAUUUGCUCUGCUUGGCAGAUAAUUUGUAGAAUACUCUAGGUGGUUUUUCUAAAGAAAAAAAUCUUAACCUUAGGAUUAACCAUUUUAAAUAACUAAACUUAGUGAAUAAAUGAAUGGCCUGUUAGGAGAUAAAUCAUAAUUUUUAGAUCAGUAACUGUUAUUUUUGGGUCUAAUGUUAAAAGACAUUGUAGUGUUCCAUAUGCAUGAUGAUAACAAUACUUUUUAAAAAGAAAAUUUACAUAAUUUACAAACUUAGAAAAAAAAUCUUCAUUUAAAUAAACAACACAAUUAAGGAUAAAAAGUAGCUAAGACUUCCUUUGUAAUUCUUACUGAGAUCUUUCAUGCUAUCUAAAGUCUAAAGGAGGUUAAUGGUCUUAUUCAUAACUAAGGAUAUUUACACUGCACUUUUUUUUAAUUUGGCUCUUUUUAUAGAAGGCACACAAUUAGAGAGGAGACUUAGUUGGCAGAUCUGCAAAACGUGUUUCAGUUAUUAGGGCAUGAGUUUUAGCUUCAUGCCAGCGGUAUUUUUCUUUCUUUUUUUUUUAAAAACAAUUAAAGUAUGAGCAUUGGAUGUAUCUAGCUAGGGGAAACUGACAAAUAUCAUGCAGUAGAAAUGGAAAAGUAACAAUGAAAAGUUUAAGACACAAAGAUGAGUCUCAGAGUCUAUCUGUUCUCAAAGAUGAAUUUCUUGAUUUCCUGUCCUUUAUUUCAACAUUAUUUUAGACUCUGAAAUUAGGCUCAUAGAGUAACCACUGAAUACGCUGUGGUAGAAAGUGCUAUACUAGGUUUUGGAAGACCCAAAUCACUUCUCAGCUUCAUCCAGUUUUCUUUGUUGUAAAAUCAGAAUAAUCAUGCACUACCUAACCUCACGUGCUCACGAGCACUUCUGACACUGAUCACCAUUCUUUUGGAAAAGUGUACAUUAUCACUGCUUCUCAUCGAGGAAUACAUGCAGUUGGAGAACAUGUGGUCUUCUCCCUAAUAUGUGCACCCUCAUUCUUGGAAGUCUUCAAUUAAAACUGAUUUAAGUCAGGCGCAGUGGCUCACGCCUGUAAUCCCAGCACUUUGAGAGGCAGAGGUGGGCGGAUCAUUUGAGGUCAGGAGUUCGAGACCAGCCUGGCCAACAUGGCAAAACCCUCACUCUACUAAAAAAUACAAAAAUUAGCUGGGGGUGAUGGUGCACGCCUGUAAUCCCAACUACUCGGAAGGCUGAGGCAAAAGAAUUGCUCGAACCCAGGAGGCAGAGGUUGCAGUGAGCCGAGAUCAUGCCACCGCACUCCAGCCUGGGCGACAGAACAAGACUUCGUGUCAAAAAGAAAAUGACAAAAACAAAAAUAGUAAGUUAAAUAGUCUAUAUUAGGUAGAGUACUGGGUACAAGUGGUCCAUACUAAGAUAAGAGCCUAAAAUAAAAUGCUAAAUCUUAAAAGAGACUGGGUUUAUGCACAAAACGUUUUGUGCCUUGGUCUAACAUUAACGUGAUGUCUGUGUAAAAUGACAAAAAGAACCAAUGUUGAAUUAUGCUAUAUUUUCCAUCACCCCAGAUUGCUAAAUGUGUUCCUUCCAAGAAAUCUAAAUGAAUUAUUAUAUACAUUUGCUGUCAUGUAUACAUAACAGUUGUGUCGUUGUUAGAGGUUUCAGUAAUUAAAAUGGGUAACAGA
rnacentral:lncRNA from 1 species